UGCAGUCGACGGUAAGGCCCCUUCGGGGGUACCGAGUGGCGAACGGGUGAGUAACACGUGGGUGAUCUGCCCUGCACUCUGGGAUAAGCCUGGGAAACUGGGUCUAAUACCGGAUAUGAGCUCCUGUCGCAUGGCGGGGGUUGGAAAGGUUUACUGGUGCAGGAUGGGCCCGCGGCCUAUCAGCUUGUUGGUGGGGUAAUGGCCUACCAAGGCGACGACGGGUAGCCGGCCUGAGAGGGCGACCGGCCACACUGGGACUGAGACACGGCCCAGACUCCUACGGGAGGCAGCAGUGGGGAAUAUUGCACAAUGGGCGAAAGCCUGAUGCAGCGACGCCGCGUGAGGGAUGACGGCCUUCGGGUUGUAAACCUCUUUCAGCAGGGACGAAGCGAGAGUGACGGUACCUGCAGAAGAAGCACCGGCCAACUACGUGCCAGCAGCCGCGGUAAUACGUAGGGUGCGAGCGUUGUCCGGAAUUACUGGGCGUAAAGAGCUCGUAGGCGGUUUGUCGCGUCGUCCGUGAAAACUUGGGGCUCAACCCCAAGCUUGCGGGCGAUACGGGCAGACUUGAGUACUGCAGGGGAGACUGGAAUUCCUGGUGUAGCGGUGAAAUGCGCAGAUAUCARGAGGAACACCGGUGGCGAAGGCGGGUCUCUGGGCAGUAACUGACGCUGAGGAGCGAAAGCGUGGUAGCGAACAGGAUUAGAUACCCUGGUAGUCCACGCCGUAAACGGUGGGCGCUAGGUGUGGGUUUCCUUCCACGGGAUCGUGCCGUAGCUAACGC
rnacentral:rRNA from 1 species